rnacentral:rRNA from 1 species
AAGUGGUAGAGGAGCAUUCUUAACUGCGGCGAAGCAGUACCGAUAAGGAGCUGUGGAGUGUUAAGAAGAGAGAAUGCCGGAAUGAGUAGCGAGAUGGAGGUGGGAAUCCUCCAGGCCGAAUAUCUAAGGUUUCCAGAGUAAAGCUGAUCUGCUCUGGGUAAGUCGGGACCUAAGGCAAGGUCGAAAGACGUAGUCGAUGGACAACAGGUUGAAAUUCCUGUACCACAUAUCAUCAGAACUGUGGGGGCACAGGGCGAUAACCAGACCCGGGAAUGAAAAGACCGGGGCAAGCGAAGAAGGAGUUAAGCCGGCAAAUCCGCUUAACAAUCCGAAGACGUGACGCGGACCGAACAAAAGUAGGGAAGCUGGAGAUUCGAACUGUCAAGAAAAGCCGCUAUUGUGUGAUAUGUGCCCGUACCGUAAACCGACACAGGUGGAUGAGGAGAGAAUCCUAAGGCCGGCGGGAGAAGCAUUGUUAAGGAACUCGUCAAAAUGACCCUGUAACUUCGGGAUAAAGGGUGCCUGCGCAAGCAGGCCGCAGAGAAUAGGCUCAAGCAACUGUUUAGCAAAAACACAGGUCUAUGCAAAACCGAAAGGUGAGGUAUAUGGGCUGACGCCUGCCCGGUGCUGGAAGGUUAAGAGGAGAGGUUAGAGCAAUCGAAGCUUUGAAUUUAAGCCCCAGUAAACGGCGGCCGUAACGAUAACGGUCCUAAGGUAGCGAAAUUCCUUGUCGGGUAAGUUCCGACCCGCACGAAAGGCGUAAUGAUUUGAGCGCUGUCUCGACAAUGCACCCGGUGAAAUUGAAAUACCAGUGAAGAUGCUGGUUACCUGCGCCAGGACGGAAAGACCCCAUGGAGCUUUACUCCAGCUUUAUACUGGGAUUCGGUUAUACAUGUACAGGAUAGGUGGGAGGCUAAGAAGUGAGGACGCCAGUCUUCACGGAGCCGCUGUUGGGAUACCACCCUUGUGUGACUGGGUUUCUAACCUGCAGCCGUGACCCGGCUGGGGGACAAUGUCAGGUGGGGAGCUUGACUGGGGCGGUCGCCUCCGAAAGGGUAUCGGAGGCGCUCAAAGGUUCCCUCAGAAUGGUUGGAAACCAUUUGCAGAGUGCAAAGGCAUAAGGGAGCUUGACUGCGAGACCGACGGGUCGAGCAGGUAGGAAACUAGGACUUAGUGAUCCGGUGGUAUAAAGUGGGAUUGCCAUCGCUCAACGGAUAAAAGCUACCCUGGGAUAACAGGCUUAUCACUCCCAAGAGUUCACAUCGACGGAGUGGUUUGGCACCUCGAUGUCGGCUCAUCGCAUCCUGGGGCUGAAGUAGGUCCCAAGGGUUGGGCUGUUCGCCCAUUAAAGCGGUACGCGAGCUGGGUUCAGAACGUCGUGAGACAGUUCGGUCCCUAUCCGGCGUGGGCGUAGGAUAUUUGAGAGGAGCUGUCCUUAGUACGAGAGGACCGGGAUGGACUGACCUCUGGUGCAUCGGUUGAGAAUCAAUCUCAUGGCCGAGUAGCCAAGUCGGGACGGGAUAAACGCUGAAGGCAUCUAAGCGUGAAGCCCCCCUCAAGAUGAGAUAUCCCAUACGCAAGUAGUAAGACCCCUUGAAGACGACGAGGUAGAUAGGGCAGAGGUGGAAGCAUGGUAACAUGUGCAGCUGACUGUCACUAAUAGGUCGAGGGCUUACCAAA